rnacentral:rRNA from 1 species
AUUGAACGCUGGCGGCAUGCCUUACACAUGCAAGUCGAACGGCAGCACGGGUGCUUGCACCUGGUGGCGAGUGGCGAACGGGUGAGUAAUACAUCGGAACGUACCUUAUCGUGGGGGAUAACGCAGCGAAAGCUGUGCUAAUACCGCAUACGCCCUGAGGGGGAAAGCGGGGGAUCGAAAGACCUCGCGCGAUUAGAGCGGCCGAUGCCUGAUUAGCUAGUUGGUGGGGUAAAAGCCCACCAAGGCAACGAUCAGUAGCUGGUCUGAGAGGACGAUCAGCCACACUGGGACUGAGACACGGCCCAGACUCCUACGGGAGGCAGCAGUGGGGAAUUUUGGACAAUGGGCGCAAGCCUGAUCCAGCCAUUCCGCGUGCAGGACGAAGGCCUUCGGGUUGUAAACUGCUUUUGUACAGAACGAAAAGCUCUGGGUUAAUACCUCGGAGUCAUGACGGUACUGUAAGAAUAAGCACCGGCUAACUACGUG